UUGCAUCCUCUAUUCACCGGUAUUUCAGGCAUUCUUUCUGAGUUCCGACUCCUCCUGCACGCUAGGGCUCCAAUCGAAAGUCGUCUGAUUUUAUUACGGCUCCAAUUUCAGUUCCGUCAGUAAAGAUUUUGAAGUGACCAGGUUAUAUGUCAACUCGACUUUGAAUCAGUUCUUAGAAGAUGUAAUAGUGUUGGAAAUGUAGUUCCACCAACACUUAAAAUUGUUUUUUUAUUAGCUCUUUGGAACACUUGGUAAAUGCGGCGCAAAAGUCUCAACAACAAGAACGGUGAUGUCAUGGAGCGAAUGGAGACACUUUGAACGUAAUCUUUAAAGUUUGAUGUACUGCUGUUUGUUUUAUUUUUGUAUUCUGUACUUCAAUGUGUUACGGGUAUCCUUAGCAUCUCAAUAUGGUGCCUUCAACGGUGGGUUUAAUAAAGUGUUAUGUAUUGUCAUGAAAAGAAAUUAUGUGGUUUUUAAUCUAUAUUGUAUAAGAAUCUCAUUUUCUCACUUA